UAGGCCCCGCCCCUUGGUGGGAGCUGCCGCAGAAUCUCAUUGCAAAGGGCAAGGGCGAGGGGAGACAAGGAUUGAGGAAAACAGCCUGGGAUCCUCUGCACAGAUGUCACAGAGAUGAAAUGUCAGCAGAGUUCACUGUGACCCUGGAGACUGGCUUCCCAGAAGAAGACAUCCCUUCUCUCCACUGCAGCCACGGCUGCCCAGGUCACACCAUUGCCGACGUGCAGCACAGACUGACUAGCAGCUCUCAGUCCUCAUUCCAGCCUUCUGGAAGAACAGCCUUUUCAGCUCAUCUAUCAGGUGUACGUGCCUCGUCCAAUCAGCAGGGGCAGGAAGAGGGGUGAGGGGAGAAGGAUGACGGCACAAACCUGGCCACAGUUCUCAGAGCACUGUAGAUAGGUAGGUGGGGCAAGUGGCCGCCAAGUGUUGACUACAGCUUGUGAGGAAAAGCACCCCGAUAUUUCAACCUGGAUAUUCCAACCUCCGAAGUCUAUAAUCUAGAACAGCAAUGGUGCAACCGAACACCACCUUUCUUAGACCCACCUGAGGGGCUGACGGGGCCACAGGAUCCUGGCAACAGCAGCGAGACUUUAUGAAGUAAGACCCACACACUGGAUUUCAAAUCUUUUCAGCUUAUGCCUCAUGAAUUGGGAGGCAGGCUUAGAGAAAGUGACAGCAUUCUGUCGGCAGACAAGCUGACAUGAACAGCAGGCCACCCUCUGAAUGCCCGGGUGCUGUGUGCAUGCACAAUCACCUUCAUAAAA